UACGUAGGGGGCUAGCGUUGUCCGGAAUCAUUGGGCGUAAAGAGCGUGUAGGCGGCCCGGUAAGUCCGCUGUAAAAGUCAAAGGCUCAACCUUUGAAUGUCAGUGGAUACUGUCGGGCUAGAGUCCGGAAGAGGCGAGUGGAACUCCUGGUGUAGCGGUGGAAUGCGCAGAUAUCAGGAAGAACACCGGUGGCGAAGGCGGCCUGCUGGGCAGUUGCUGACACUGAGGCGCGACAGCGUGGGGAGCAAACAGG
rnacentral:rRNA from 1 species